rnacentral:rRNA from 1 species
UACAGAGGGUGCAAGCGUUAAUCGGAAUUACUGGGCGUAAAGCGUGCGUAGUCGGUUAUCUAAGUCGGGUGUGAAAUCCCAAGGCUCAACCUUGGAACUGCCUUUGAUACUGGGGAUCUCGAGUCCGGAAGAGGUUGGUGGAACUGCGAGUGUAGAGGUGAAAUUCGUAGAUAUUCGCAAGAACACCAGUGGCGAAGGCGGCCAACUGGUCCGGUACUGACGCUGAGGUGCGAAAGCGUGGGGAGCAAACAGG